rnacentral:lncRNA from 1 species
GGGUGUGACAAUUAAAGUGGUAUCAGAGCAUUAGUAGAUGAACUAAGAUGUGUAUAGUAUGGGUGUCAGUGGAUAGACACUAGAGACAUUAUGGUGUAGAUCUUUGAUGAUUGUAAUAGAAAAAAAUCUUUAUAAUAUUUUGUUAAACAUUAAGAUAAUGUAUGAAAGGAUCACAAGAGAUUAUGACAUAUAGAAUUUGAAAUAUGAUGGAUGAUCUAUUGAUCAUGAUAUGAUUAGUUAGAUUUUGAUCGAAAGUAAUUACAAAAGGAUUGAC